GUAGCCUCUCUCCCUCUGUCUCACUCCGUCAAGCAAGUUCUGACGCCAGUCGACUACUUUUCUGGUCUCACCCGCCGCCGCUGUUGGGCAACACCGCACUGCAGGUAAGUUCUUCUUUUUUUAUUUUUUUUAUUUUUGUUAAUAUUUUUUUGUAUUUACAGCUAUAACAUGAUUUUUAUUAUUUUUUUAAUUUUUUUGCAUUUAUAUUUUAUGUCGAUUAUGAUUGUUAAAUGUUUUUUUUUUAUUGAAGAUGGAUUUUUUUGGUUAUUUUUCUAUUUUGUUGAUUGUUGACAGUUAGUAUUGGUUUGUAGUUUGAUAUAUGUUAUUUUUGUUGAUUCUAGCUAGUUUCUAAUUAAUCUCAGUUUGAUAGUUUUUAGUUUUUUGAUUAGUUUAUUAUUUUUUAGUUAAUUUCUUUGAAUGUUAAGUAGUUUGUCAUUUGUCAGUUAAUUAUUUUGUCAUUUUUUUUUUUUUUAUUUGUCAUUUGUUUGACUGUUUUAGAUUAAAGCACUUAAUGGUUAUUAUGAACAAAUUUAUUUAAUUAGGUUAGUUUAUUAAUUAGGUUAGCUUAAUUAGUUUGUUAAUUAGGUUAGUUUUUUUAAUUAAUUGAUUUGUCAAUUUUGUUAAUUAUAUAAUUGGUGUAUGAAUCUAUGCAUAUGUUACUUUUUCGCAUUAUCUUAGUUUGUUAAUUACGUUAAUUAGUUUGUUAAGUAGGUUAUUUGUUAAUUAGGUUAGUUUGUUAAUUAUAUCCGUUUGUUAAUUAGGUUAGUUUUUUAAUGAAUUAGUUUAUCAAUUUUGUUAAUUAGUUUUUGAAUUACCGAUACAAAGAGUUGAAGAUUUAACGGAACGAUUGGCUGAUGAAUAUGAGACAUAUGUUGAGAUUGGUAUGUCAAAUAAAGAUGAUGAAGCGAAGCCCCAUGUCUUAGGUACUUCAAAACAAGGAGGAGGAGGAAAAGAUGAAUAAGACGAAGAAGAAUGAGACAAAGAAUAUUAAAAUAGUUAGUAUUAUCUUAAUUCUUAAAAUUCAAAACCUUAAGCAUAGUUACUAUAUUGUAUAAACUCAAAACUUAAACAUUUAUGUUUAGUCUUGAAACUUUUGUAAUAUUUGUGUCAAUUAUUAUGUUGUAUUGUAGAUCACCUUGUUCGGGUUCAAAUGGAUACAGGCAUGGGGUCGAGGACUCUGCAUGAAGGGGAUGAGCUCGAGGUAUUCGAGGGCGAGGUGGUUGUGCCAAAACACGUGACGCUCAUAAAGUCACACAACCUCCCUUGCCUCCACUACCUUCUAUCCCUUCUUUAAUUAAUUAAAUAAUUGAUGCAAUAACUAUUAAAGAAAAAUAGAUUAAUAAUACCAACAAGGUGUUAGUUGAGGUGGUUAGCGCCUUUAAUUCCCAUAAGGUUUGAUCCCCGGUUACACUAAAUACAGAAAACCUUGUAUAAUAAAUUUGUCAAAAUUCCAAAAAUAUUUUUCUCCUUUAAAAAGUAUUCUUUUUCUUUUGUAAUAAUUUUUUUUUGAAAAUAAUUUAGUUUUCUCUUUAAUCAU
rnacentral:lncRNA from 1 species